rnacentral:tRNA from 1 species
GGGGCUGUAGCUCAGUGGUAGAGCACCCACCUCGCACAUGUGAGGCACUGGUUUGAUCCUCAGCACCA